ensembl:snoRNA SNORD15 Small nucleolar RNA SNORD15
CUUCAGUGAUGAUUCGAUGACGAGUCAGAAAAGGAUGCUCUUCUUCCCAGAGCAAACAGUUCAGUAUCACGUUCUGUGGUGCUGAGCCUGGCUGCUCUGGGAGAGGUGUCCUGUUCAUUGGAUGAUCUAGAGGCAUUUGUCUGAGAAGG